rnacentral:rRNA from 1 species
AUGCGGCAAUUCUUGUGGCGGCAAGACGAAGAGAUCUCGGGAGCCAACUGCAAAGUUACCUGGCCGGUGGUGUGCUCGCCGACGGAGUACGGGGGCCUGGGUAUCCACGAGCUGCAGCACUUCAGCAGGGGCCUCCACCUACGCUGGCUAUGGAUCUCCUGGCACCACCAAGAGCGGCCAUGGGUGGGCAUGGAGCUGCCCUACAAUGCGGACAAUAGGGUCUAUUCAUUGCCUCGAUAG